rnacentral:rRNA from 1 species
GGAUUGCAGGCUGCAACUCGCCUGCAUGAAGCUGGAAUUGCUAGUAAUCGCGGAUCAGCAAGCCGCGGUGAAUACGUUCCCGGGCCUUGUACACACCGCCCGUCACACCAUGGGAGCCGGUAAUACCCGAAGUCAGUAGUCCAACCUCGUGAGGACGCUGCCGAAGGUAGGAUUGGCGACUGGGGUGAAGUCGUAACAAGGUACC